rnacentral:sRNA from 1 species
CGCCCCCUGUGGUGCGCGUGAUUGCUCCAGUUAUCCUCUGAACCUAUAAGUGCUUUUAACGGGAGCCGAAUUGCGAUGCUGGUGUGCAUGCCCGCCUUGAGCGGGAAGCCUGAAAGCCUCGC